CGGAGUUAAACGAGACACACGCUACCUGGCUGCGAAAGAAUGUGCGUGAAAAUAUCGAUUUGGAUCUGGUUGUACUAUACAGUUGCGACAUCGAGUUCAGCAGACCCAUGCACUGACACCUCGACACAAAAACUGGGUUCGAUUCGGCAGAGGCUUGUCGGAUAUCAACUAGCAGCCGACGAAGAUGCAAUUUGCGAUAUUUAUAUACAAGUGGGCUGGUACUUCACCGAUACGUUCGUCUUAGCCUCUACAAAUCAGCGUUGUGGAACACUACGAAAUUGGUAUCGCAGAGAUAACGACAGUUUACCGAAAAACAUCAACGAACAAAGAAAUAUCGUCUUAUGCAGAAAUGGACCAAGUAAUGUGUGUGAUAAAUUAAGCUCUGCGAACGUUACCAAAUGUGCUGAAGACAAGUAUGUGUUUUAUCUCAUCCCGGUAUCAAGUUGCAUAGAGGCGUACU